GACGAACGCUGGCGGCGUGCUUAACACAUGCAAGUCGAACGGUAAGGCCCUUCGGGGUACACGAGUGGCGAACGGGUGAGUAACACGUGGGUGAUCUGCCCUGCACUUCGGGAUAAGCCUGGGAAACUGGGUCUAAUACCGGAUAGGACCACUGCCUGCAUGGGUGGUGGUGGAAAGCUUUUGCGGUGUGGGAUGGGCCCGCGGCCUAUCAGCUUGUUGGUGGGGUUAUGGCCUACCAAGGCGACGGCGGGGAGCCGGCCUGAGAGGGUUAACCGCCACCAGGGGACUGAGAUACGGCCCAGACGCCUACGGGAGGCAGCAGUGGGGAAUAUUGCACAAUGGGCGCAAGCCUGAUGCAGCGACGCCGCGUGAGGGAUGACGGCCUUCGGGUUGUAAACCUCUUUCAGCACCGACGAAGCGCAAGUGACGGUAGGUGCAGAAGAAGGACCGGCCAACUACGUGCCAGCCGCCGCCGUAA
rnacentral:rRNA from 1 species